AUCACACUUAUCUAUAUCCAAACCCUUACGUAUUUAUUUGACCGAACAUUUGAACAUAGGGAGCUUAACAUUUGUGUUACAGCGAACAUGCCCCAAUGGAGCGGGAAGUUUAAUGUAAUCGUGCGGGCACCCACCUGCUAUCGAGCGGGUUCAAGAUUUUGUAAGGGGUAGAUAAGCUGUGGUU
rnacentral:other from 1 species